UACGAAGGGUGCAAACGUUGCUCGGAAUCAUUGGGCGUAAAGCGCACGUAGGCGGCUUCCUAAGUCGGAUGUGAAAUCCCUCGGCUCAACCGAGGACGUGCAUCCGAAACUGGGAAGCUCGAGUAUGGAAGAGGGUCGCGGAAUUCUCGGUGUAGAGGUGAAAUUCGUAGAUAUCGAGAGGAACACCGGCGGCGAAGGCGGCCCACUGGACAGAUACUGACGCUGAGACUCGAAAGCGUGGGGAGCAAACAGG
rnacentral:rRNA from 1 species